GAAUUCAGAGUACUGUUUCUGUAUCAGUGGUGCUGUGGAUCCAGUGUUAGAAUCUUACCAGCAGUGUAUCUGACAUGCUGUUGUCUGAAGAGCAGAAUGUAAUGCUGAGGCAAUGUGAAUGAAGACAAGUGUGAAGUCUCUGCUUCAGGGAUCCAUUUUUUGGCAUUCUGGAAAAGAGCUCUGUAAUGGCUUUGUCUUCAGCAAGCACACAGAAGCCUUGGCGGUCUCUGCAGCACUAAUCUAUGAGCCGAGUCUCAGCUACAGGAAGACAGAAGUUGAAACUAGAGAAGAAGAAUUUCUGCUCUCGAUCCUAGGCUGUUCCCAAUAAGCCCACUUAUAACUGAAUCCCACUUGUCAGGUGGCUGGUUAACUUCACCCAUUGGAGUAGAACAGCCACUCAGGAAGCACAUGAAGCUCUUUGUCUCAUAGAGAAAUAGAAUCACAGAUAGCAGGGGGAUUUGAGACAUGGGAUGAGGCAUAGGAAGAACCAGCCUGCCUCCAUCUUAGCCUAAAAAGCCAUCUUAUAGUAAAGUUUAUGAUUAAAGCUCUGUUUUCAUGGAUUGGGCUGUGCCCACCUGUGCCCUGAAGUACAAAUGGUUCUGUACUGUCUGUUCUAGGAAUGGGAUUCAUGUCUUAAUUUCUAAACAUUGUUUUUAACCAUCUUGCAACUAUACCUUUGUUUUAAAAAGGUUACAUGGCUGUGGUGAUAUUUCAUUUGUAUUUUAAUAAAUAAUGCUUGU